GACAGAGGAUGCAAGCGUUAUCCGGAAUGAUUGGGCGUAAAGCGUCUGUAGGUGGCUUUUUAAGUCCGCCGUCAAAUCCCAGGGCUCAACCCUGGACAGGCGGUGGAAACUACCAAGCUGGAGUACGGUAGGGGCAGAGGGAAUUCCUGGUGUAGCGGUGAAAUGCGCAGAUAUCAGGAGGAACACCGAUGGCGAAGGCAGGUCUCUGGGCCAUUACUGACACUGAGAAGCGAAAGCAUGGGGAGCGAACAGG
rnacentral:rRNA from 1 species